GCUGGGUUAGCUCAGAAGUUAGAGCUUUUAACAGGCAACCAGAAGGUCCCGGGUUCGAAUCUCGCAAGAAGCA
rnacentral:tRNA from 1 species